rnacentral:lncRNA from 1 species
AGGAAAAUGACGACGACGCUGAGGACAACGAGGAUGCCAAGGGUCUCGCGGUCGGAGAAAGUGCGGCCGAAGAGGACGAGAGGAGGAUCGGAGGGGCGGAAGAGGUAGAGGAAGAGCCAGGCGGCGAGGAGAGAAAGGAGGAGGAGGAGAGAGAAAGGGUUGGUGAGGAGAGAGAAGGCAAGGGUAAGGGCGAUGAGGGAGAGGUAGUUGACGCGGAAGUAGGUGUAGUUCUUGCGUACGCGAAGGGCGGCCUCGGAGAAGGACUCGGGGCGGGAGAAAGCGUUGCGGUCGACGAGCUCGGACCAGGGGCGGCGCUGAGCGAAGCCGUUGCGGACGGAAUCGGUGAUGUGGGUGAUAAAUAAGCGGACAGCGGGUGUGGCGACCGGAGGCUGCGAUUGAACGGAUGUGGCGGUGGUUUCUGGGUUGGAAAUGGGGAGAAUUGGAGGAGACGAAGUCGCCAUCGAUGGGGGUUUUGGAGGUCGACGAUUUGUGUUAGGCAAGACUGGAUUUGAGGGGGGUGGGUGGCAGAUCUUUGGGGAUAUAUCUAUAGCGUGGAUGUAG